AACGCACCUUGCACCCUUUGGUAUUCCAAAGGGUACACCCGUUUGAGUGUCAUUGUAAUCUCACUAUGUUCGACUUUUUGUCCUUCAUACGUGGACCUGGAUGUUGCCGUUGGUUUUUGACGGCUCAUCUGAAAUGCCUGAGUGUACCCCGCUUUGCGGCGUAUUCGGUGUAAUAUAUUGUCACCGGAGUUGAUCCUUUUGGGUCGCGUCUGUAGGAGUGUGGCUCUAUGCUUUCCAACCGUCCCUCUAUUGGGACAAUCUUCUUGACAAUUUGACCUCAAAUCGGGUGGGACUACCCGCUGAACUUAA
rnacentral:misc_RNA from 1 species